rnacentral:ribozyme from 1 species
AGGAAUGAAGGCAGGGGCAAACUUUACCGAGACAGUAGAUGUGGUGAAGCCCUUAGUGGCAGUGAAACCUUCUAAUGCAAUCAUCGUUCGACCCCUGCCAAUUGCCAAGAGGACCCUACAGCCCCAUGGAAACAACUGG